rnacentral:rRNA from 1 species
UUACGGAGGCAGCAGUGGGGAAUUUUGCGCAAUGGGCGAAAGCCUGACGCAGCAACGCCGCGUGGGUGAUGAAGGUCUUCGGAUCGUAAAACCCUGUCGUCAGGGACGAAGGUUGUGUUCCCAAUAGGGAUGCAGCUUGACGGUACCUGGAGAGGAAGCCCCGGCUAACUCUGUGCCAGCAGCCGCGGUAAUACAGAGGGGGCAAGCGUUAUUCGGAAUUAUUGGGCGUAAAGGGCGCGUAGGCGGUGGUUUAAGUGAGAUGUGUAAUCCCCGAGCUUAACUUGGGAACUGCAUCUCAGACUGGAUCGCUAGAGUGCUGGAGAGGGUGGUGGAAUUCCACGUGUAGCGGUGAAAUGCGUAGAGAUGUGGAGGAACACCAGUGGCGAAGGCGGCCACCUGGACAGUAACUGACGCUGAGGCGCGAAAGUGUGGGGAGCAAACAGGAUUAGAUACCCUGGUAGU